rnacentral:pre_miRNA from 1 species
AUGUAUGGGCCUGAUCCAAGCCCACAGAAGUCAAUGGGAGUCUUUCCAUUGACUUCAAUGGGCUUUGGAUCAGAUUUCAUAUGU